rnacentral:rRNA from 1 species
GAUGAACGCUGGCGGCGUGCCUAAUACAUGCAAGUCGAACGCUGGAGAUCUAGCUUGCUAGAUCGAAGGAGUGGCGAACGGGUGAGUAAUACAUAAGCAACCUACCCACGAAUACUGGGAUAAUCUCUGGAAACGGGGACUAAUACCUGAUAGGUAAUCGGAAGGCAUCUUCUGGGUAUUAAAGGUUAAAAACACUGGUGGAUGGUCUUAUGGCGCAUUAGUUAGUUGGUGAGGUAACGGCCCACCAAGACGAUGAUGCGUAGCCGGCCUGAGAGGGUGAACGGCCACAUUGGGACUGAGACACGGACCAGACUCCUACGGGAGGCAGCAGUAGGGAAUUUUCGGCAAUGGGGGCAACCCUGACCGAGCAACGCCGCGUGAGUGAAGACGGCCUUCGGGUUGUAAAGCUCUGUUGUAAGAGAAGAACGGUAGAUAGAGAAUAUCUAAGUGACGGUACCUUAACAGAAAGCAACGGCUAACUACGUG